UACGUAGGGGGCAAGCGUUGUCCGGAAUUAUUGGGCGUAAAGAGCGUGUAGGCGGCCAGGUAGGUCUGCUGUGAAAACUCGAGGCUUAACCUCGAGAUGUCGGCGGAAACCAUCUGGCUAGAGUCCGGAAGAGGAGAGCGGAAUUCCUGGUGUAGCGGUGAAAUGCGCAGAUAUCAGGAGGAACACCCGUGGCGAAGGCGGCUCUCUGGGACGGUACUGACGCUGAGACGCGAAAGCGUGGGGAGCGAACAGG
rnacentral:rRNA from 1 species